AGCCACCUGUGAGGAACAAGGAGGGUCAGAGGUCCAUCCAAGGAGCUGCUUUGCCGAACACAAUAGAAAGAAAUAAAAGGAGUGGGUCGUUCCCGAAAACGAGGAAACGGAUACGCACACACUGUAACCUGCUGUGUCUAAUACAAAAGGCCGAGGGGGAAGACAGCAGACCUGCAGAGGCGCUGGUGGUGAACACGGAUGAACGUGAAAGGAGCAGCACUGUGGACUCACGAGUGUUCUGCCAUUCAGUGCACCACAACGCAAGGUGGCACUGAGCGACGCCACAGCAACUGUCACUGGGGCUAUCUCGGCAGAGGGCACCACCCGCCUGGCAAGAACACGGUACUAGGAUUCAAGCCCAAGGAUUCCAGUCCCGGUGGAAACGGACGGGGUCACUUCCUAUGCUUUUGUCAGUUCUGUGAUAGGAUGACCCCGUGUCUAGAAAAAGUGGGAACUGAACUCCGAAAGGCUUAGCUUUGAAAACUAUUAAACUACACAGUAGCAGGUC